rnacentral:rRNA from 1 species
ACACUAUCGUUAACUGAAUACAUAGGUUAACGAGGCGAACCGGGGGAACUGAAACAUCUAAGUACCCCGAGGAAAAGAAAUCAACCGAGAUUCCCCCAGUAGCGGCGAGCGAACGGGGAGCAGCCCAGAGUCUGAAUCAGCUUGUGUGUUAGUGGAACGGUCUGGAAAGUCCGACGGUACAGGGUGAUAGUCCCGUACACCAAAAUGCACAGGCUGUGAACUCGAAGAGUAGGGCGGGACACGUGGUAUCCUGUCUGAAUAUGGGGGGACCAUCCUCCAAGGCUAAAUACUCCUGACUGACCGAUAGUGAACCAGUACCGUGAGGGAAAGGCGAAAAGAACCCCGGCGAGGGGAGUGAAAAAGAACCUGAAACCGUGUAC